rnacentral:lncRNA from 1 species
UCCUUAAAACCUUCUAGAGAUAAAUUUCUAGAACCUUCUAGAAACAAGUCUCUGGAACCUUCUAGAAGCUUCCUAGUUGGUAGAAGUUGCUUGAGAAGCUUCUUAAAUAGAAGUAUAUAUUGGAAUCGAGGCUGAAGAGUUCUUCAAUCUCGACAACACAUUUCUUGGAGCUCUAGUUCACCUCUCUGGUGUUGUUCUCAUCUAAUUAAUCUAAUUCUUGCCAGUUCUUCUUGAACUUCUUGUUAGAUCUCGAGUCUGUAUUUCUGUGUCUGUGACAGUUUGUCGAGAUUGCACUCACCUCAGAUAUCAGAGCUAGUUUCUUCUUUGUUAGAGUGUGGAUUACCC